UAAUUAAAAUAGAACUUUUUUCCCGAUAAAAAAAGAUCUAUAUAAGAUUAAGUUAUAGCUUACCCCCUCAAUGUGGAAUUAUUGUGUAUAAAAACUUAUAUAGAAGCGAAAUACUUACAAUUUUUUUGAUAUCUGGAUUGAGUUUAAAAGAAUUUAGUUCUUAAAGUAGUUGAAAAGUUAUAAGAUUUUUCAAAAUGUAGAAUUUUAGAUAUAAGUAUAAUAUUGGAAUAAUUUUCUAAAUCUUUAAAGCUUAUAUAUUAUAUAUAUCAAAUUUUUAUCUAGUAAAAAUAAACUUUUUUAAGUCACAUUAACGUGGUUAAAUAAUAAUGUUUAAAUAAGUAUUUUUAAACAAAUCUUGAAAAGGAACUCGGCAAAACUAUUUAUCCUCAACUGUUUAACAAAAACAUAGCUUAAAGAAAGUAAUUAUAUUUUAAGUGAUUUCUGCCCAGUGAAUUUUUUUAACGGCCGCAGUACACUGACUGUGCUAAGGUAGCAUAAUAAUUUGGCUUUUAAUUGGAGUCGGGUAUGAAAGGGAUUAUGGGGAACAACUGUCUUUUCUGGAUAAAGUAAAAGUUGCUAAGAAAGUGAAAAUUCUUUCAGUACGGCACGUAAGACGAGAAGACCCUAAGAAUUUUUAUGAAUUAAUGUUUUACUGCAUAUAUUAAAAUUUUUGUUGGGGCAACAUCUUUGGUCAACCAAAGUUCAAUUAUAAUUUACAUAACAAAUUAUUUAAAACAAGAUUAAAUUACCUUAGGGAUAACAGCAUAAUUAUUUUAAUAGAUUGUGACCUCGAUGUUGGACUAAGGACUUUAUUAAAUAGCCUUUAAUUAAGCUAGUUCUGUUCGAACUAUUACACCUUA
rnacentral:rRNA from 1 species